AUUCGCGGCCUAUCAGCUUGUUGGUGGGGUGAUGGCCUACCAAGGCGACGACGGGUAGCCGGCCUGAGAGGGUGACCGGCCACACUGGGACUGAGACACGGCCCAGACUCCUACGGGAGGCAGCAGUGGGGAAUAUUGCGCAAUGGGCGAAAGCCUGACGCAGCGACGCCGCGUGAGGGAUGAAGGCCUUCGGGUUGUAAACCUCUUUCAGCAGGGAAGAAGCGCAAGUGACGGUACCUGCAGAAGAAGCACCGGCUAACUACGUGCCAGCAGCCGCGGUAAUACGUAGGGUGCAAGCGUUGUCCGGAAUUAUUGGGCGUAAAGAGCUCGUAGGCGGUUUGUCGCGUCUGCUGUGAAAACGCGGGGCUCAACUCCGCGCCUGCAGUGGGUACGGGCAGACUAGAGUGCAGUAGGGGAGACUGGAAUUCCUGGUGUAGCGGUGGAAUGCGCAGAUAUCAGGAGGAACACCGGUGGCGAAGGCGGGUCUCUGGGCUGUAACUGACGCUGAGGAGCGAAAGCGUGGGUAGCGAACAGGAUUAGAUACCCUGGUAGUCCACGCCGUAAACGUUGGGCGCUAGGUGUGGGCCUCAUUCCACGAGGUCCGUGCCGCAGCUAACGCAUUAAGCGCCCCGCCUGGGGAGUACGGAAU
rnacentral:rRNA from 1 species